UGGCGGACGGGUGAGUAAUGUCUGGGAAACUGCCUGAUGGAGGGGGAUAACUACUGGAAACGGUAGCUAAUACCGCAUAACGUCGCAAGACCAAAGAGGGGGACCUUCGGGCCUCUUGCCAUCGGAUGUGCCCAGAUGGGAUUAGCUAGUAGGUGGGGUAACGGCUCACCUAGGCGACGAUCCCUAGCUGGUCUGAAAGGAUGACCAGCCACACUGGAACUGAGACACGGUCCAG
rnacentral:rRNA from 1 species